UCAGGCUUUGUUACGGCGUAAUGAGGUAAACACCUCAAGGCUAAUUUGUUGGUUUUAUAGUCUUAGAGCGGCGCUGGUGGCGAAUUGGUGCCAGAGAUCACGGAAAGUGAUCGCAACAUUUAGCCAGUGGCUGAGUGAUAUGUGUGUAUUUCGAGCCGCGGUACCUGUGAGUAAUCAUACAACUUCGCAUCUGCUGUUUGUUCAAUCUAAUUGUGCCAGAGUGUCUUGGUGGGACGAGGGAGGCUAGCUGCAUUUAUUCGGCGCUGUGUUUCACAGCGUGCUCAGUGUGCCAACACAACUUCCUUAAGGUUUAGCCAGUGUGAUUUUUGGUGUGACUUGCAGUGGGUUUGGAUGACCUCUCAAGCUGUAGCUGGCCUGCCUUGUCCCUGCCAAGCCUGGGCCUGGAGAAGUUCUUAGUUUUUUAAAACCCUUACUGUGCUUCAUGGGAAAGCGAUUUUAUAUUUUGUCAAGUUUUAAAUGAUGCUGAAGUGUCGUCAUAAUAAAAUAUACAUUUUUAUAUUCAUA